UGUGUAGGCGGUUCUCCAAGUUUGGUGUGAAAUUUCCCGGCUCAACCGGGAGGGUGCGCCGAAAACUGGAGGGCUAGAGUGCGGGAGGGGAGAGUGGAAUUCCUGGUGUAGCGGUGAAAUGCGUAGAUAUCAGGAGGAACACCGGUGGUGUAGACGGCUCUCUGGACCGUAACUGACGCUGAGACACGAAAGCGUGGGUAGCAAACAGGAUUAGAUACCCUGGUAGUCCACGCCCUAAACGAUGCAUAUUUGGUGUAGGUCAUUCAGUUGAUCUGUGCCGGAGCUAACGCGUUAAAUAUGCCGCCUGGGGAGUACAGUCGCAAGGCUGAA
rnacentral:rRNA from 1 species